rnacentral:lncRNA from 1 species
CAGCUCAAGGCUGUAGGAGGAAGAAAAAUCUAGUCCCUGGGGGUACUGAUGAAUCAGUUGGAUGGUGGGCGUUGGACUGUGAAUUCCUGAUGCCUCUGGGUAAACUCUGGAGGAAAUUCUGUUUCAUUACUUGCACUCAGCCCUCCUAUUUUGUACUAAGGUAUUCUUGAAUACAAGUGCACCGGCCAAAAAAGUAAACUUACGCAUAAAAAGAAAGGCUCUCUUCCUUCCAAGAAUGCUGAACACCUUUGAAGUCUCUGUUGCUGCCUCAUCUUUUAGAUACAAUCAUUGAUUAUGUAUUUUUGGCAUCGUCCUGAACUUUGUUUCAUUUCCUUCACAGUUGAAUGUGCAGUUGGCUUUGUCCACUCAGUGAUGGUCCUUGUGACUGUUCUUGGCUUUUCUGUUGUUUUUCCAUCUUUCUAUAGGAAGCUUGAGACCGAUACUCAUCGUUUGCUUUCAGCACCUUAAUUUUGCUUUGUUCAUUUUUGUAAAGUAAGGGCAAAUGGCCACCGGAAUGUACAGUGAUUAAAGAAGCAAACUCUGUCAAAGAUGGUGAUUAGUGGCCAGCCAGUCCCUCUCAGGAUCACUGUAUUAAAAAGUGCUCAUUUGCCAGUGACAUUUUUUUUUGGUUUUGGUUUUUUUUUUUUUUUUUUUUUUUGAGACUGAGUGUCACUCUGUCGCCCAGGCUGGAAUGCAGUGGCCUGAUCUCAGCUCACUGCAACCUCCACCUCCCAGGUUCAAGUGAUUCUCGUGCCUCAGCCUUCUGAGUAGCUGGGACUACAGGCGCCCAAUACCAUGACUGGCUAAUUUUUUUUUUUUUAAAUUUUAAGUAGAGAUGAGAUUUUGCCAUGUUGGCCUGUUUGGCCUUAUACUCCUCAUCUCAGGUGAUCCACCUGCCUCGGCCCCCCAAAUGCCAGUGACAUUUGUAGGUGGAUUCAGAUUAAGGUGGGUAGCUUAGUUGAGGCGUCUCAACCCUUUUCUGUGCACUCUCUCAAGAUGAUUUCUGAACACACAACUAUAAGUGCAUGAGAACUUAAAUACGUGUGCUCUUAUGCUAAUUAUACACAAAGUAAAAGUUUUUUCACAAGGAGAAUUUUUUUCUCCAGCAAAUAGCUCGCUCACCCUAGGGGUACAUACACCCCACUUUAGAGACCCUCAAGUUACAGUGGUAUCAUUAAACGAUCCAUAAAGGAGUGGGUUUAAGAAAGCUGAUACAGGAACAUGUUUGAAAUAAUACAUUUUCUCAAGGGUGUCCUCCAACCAUUUUCUUUGAUAAAUUAUAUUUCUGCCCAUUGUUGACUUGAAAUUGUCCUCACCCCUCUACCAAGUUCACCCAGUGUAUUCUGAAGGAAAAUGAAUGAAUAUGGAAACCUCUCUCAUCCUAGGCAGUAGAGCGAGGGAAGCUGCACUGGCUGAGAGGCUGUGGAACCGGAUGAAAAAGCAGCCCCUGAGUCCUGUGGCGUUGGCUGUGAGUCGGCCACGUGCUUGCUGUGUGCUUUAGGAAAGUUACUUAAUUUCUCUGAGCUUUAGUUUUCUCCCUCAUAAGUAGGCUUGCUGUGAAAAUGAAGUGAAAUCACAUUAAUCUGCAUGAGCAUUUAACACGGUGCCUGGUGUACAUCAGGGGUGUGACAGUGAGUGCUGGCUGCUGUAGUAAUUGAAUGCUUAGCUACGUGCCGGGCCCUUUGCCAGCUACAGCUCAUGUGAGACCUCAUGUUCAGUCUUGGCAGUAACCCAGCAAGGUAGGCAUUUUACAUGUGAGGAGCCUGAGAAAUUCAGUCUUGGCCUGGAUCACAGAGCUGGUAUCCAAAUUCAGGUCCGAGGCCAAAGCCCAGAUCUUUGCACUACACCUUGUUGCCUGGCACAGGUGAGAGUGCCCAGCCCAUAGUGGGUGCGCAAUAUCUGUUUCUAUUUGAAUGACCCAGGCAGGCGGUUAAUAAUGCUUGUGAUUUCUUUGAGAGAGAAGUAAGUUCUUGUCUUUGGUGGGGGAAGCAUCAGGUGACCAGCAUUUGUCCAGAGCCUGGUACCCAUCCUCUCCCAAGCCCAAUCAGUGGUGCUUUCUCAAAAAGAAACCAUCUCCUGACCACUUUGGCCAUAUUGGGCCUUUGCUCCUCUUCUGUAGCUAUUGAUAAGAGGGCUGUGGGCAGUUAGUGAUAAUCAAGGUCGUAUCCCAACUAAGUGACAGAGCUGAGACAGUUAAGUUCCAGGACAAGUGUGUUGAUCUCUGUACCCACUUGUGCCAGGUGCCUGGGGAGGUAGGGGCAUGGCUGUCUGAGGGUGGAGGGGUGAGUAGGGGGCCUGCAGUGUGCUGUGACGCCUGGGAAGGGGAUUCUAAGCCAUUUCCCAUCAGCCGUUUACUAAGUAGCCUGGGGAUCUUGUUAAAAUGCAGAUCCUGAUAGAUUAGGGCUGGGGUGCUGCCCAAGAUUCUACAUUUCUAAGAGUCCCUGGAUGACGGUGGCAUUCACAGACCACAGCUUCUAUGUGAGGGAGAGCAGUUGGGUUUCUGUCUGCCUGCCGCACCUGAUCAGUAGUUAGUGCCUGCAUGUGUGGCGGCCAGAAUUUUACUUGGGGAGACGCUCGGCUCCUAGCACCCUCUGUGGUAGGGGUUUUCCAGAGUGUGGGCAUUACCCCAACUGUCUCUGCAGACGGCUUCCUGCAUGUUUCCCACAAGCGCUCAGAUGGCUGAAUUGGCAAGUCUGUGGUGCUGCUCUUUGGGGCCACCUCGUUCUUUGCCUUUCCCUCCCCUUAGCGAUGUGUCCCAUCCGUUGCCUACAGUCAAGUCAGUCCACAUGUUUAGGCUAAGGUGGGCAUGACCGAGUGGCCUUCCCCCGGGAAGACCAGUGUCGUAACUGGAAUUAAGUUGUGGAACAUAAGAGUCAAGGCUCGUGUCUGCUGUGAACUGGAGUUGAGGGAAUGUUUGGGGAUCCCACCUGGUAUCAGUAAGGGAACCAUGGCGACGGCCAGCCUUGCCCAUGUGAGGCAUUUGCUUUGUCAGGCCUUCUCAGUAGUGGAGAAGGGAGGAAGGAGAAUGCAGCUCUUUCAGUGCUGUCUAGCAGUGCCCAAGAGCCGUGAUUGGGCACCUCACUUAACGUCUAACUUCAGAUUCACUCUUGGGCAUUCCUGUCUUCCUCUCCAAUCUUGAAUGGAUGUUGGCUUCGAUAAUGUCAUCCUGAAGUUUCUUUGUCCACACAGCCCUGGCUGGUUGUUAAUAAGCUGUUAAUGCAGCCUUGCACUCAGGAAGCCCUGAUGUUUAAAGGAACUGUGUCUUUGUUCUUCCUCUCUUCCCUCUUUCUCUUAGUCCCACUUUAUCUCUUCUUUCUCUUCCUCUCCCUCCUCCUUUUCCCCUCUCCCUCCUACUCUCCCCCUUUCUCUCCUCCUUCUCUAAGAAACCCAGUCUUAAUUCCACACAAUGCAUGCACAUGCAGUAGCUUCUCUGCUUGAGUGAGCUGGUGUGAUUAGGUUUUCUAAACAUGCACAUUGGCCUUGCUACUUGUCCUUUUAUUCCCUUCCCACAGACCAUAAACCAAGAAUUAUUUUUAUUUGUAUUAUUUUGAUUUUUUUAAAGUAAAAUAUUAACUUUUCCUCUUUGAAAUAAAUUCCCAUUUGGAACAUCAGCAUACAGUUUGAACAUUUAUUCGCCUCCUGAGCUUGUACAACAGUCGUGGGAGUUGCUGCAGAAGCAAGCGAAAAGCCAGAUGAGCGCUUCUAAACUUAGAGAGAGGGAGAGCGCCUCAUCUCUUCCAUUUUCCAGGUAUUCCUGAGAUGAUUUAUUGGAGCUCAAAGCUUUGGGAGAGUUGGGGCCUUCCAUUCCCUCCAGUAAAUACUUGUUUUUCUUCCACCGCUGAGGCAAAUGCGGGGUGGCUGAUCACCUGGCAGACAUCUUAGGAAACAGGAGCACCGGUCUGGGAAACUGCUGGCCUGGCCUAACACCUGGCGCUGUGGUGCAGGCAAGAGGGCAGCCACUGAGGAUUCUUGAGGAGAGAGAGACCAUAGAAUGAAUGAAAGAGUUGGAAAGACUUUAAAGCUCUGGGAGGCUGAAUCCUUUAUUUCGCUGGAAGAAAAACUGAAUGCCAAGAGGGCCUCACUUUCCCCAAAGCUAUACAGCCAUCAGGGGCAAUGCUGGGAUUCCCCCAUGGAUCUCUUGACUCCUAAUACAGUGCUCUUUCUGAUAUGCCAUCUGGCUCCAUAAUGAACAUUGUGUUCCAGGAAAAUCAGUCUGCGCUGAACAGGAUGGAAUUGGGGCAGGACGUCCAGUGAGGAGGACAUUGAGGCAGUAGAGCAGUUGAUUGCCGAAUGACCACCUACCCUGACUUAAAAGAUCAACCUCAGGGAGGAUUGGAGCUUUCUAGAGUCUCUUGGGACAGCAGAAGCACAGGCCGGGUUGGACUGAAUCUUUAAGUGGACAUGAGGGACAAAGUACCUCCUGUUGGUAAACAUCUCACCACCAACCCACUGUGGUGGCUAAAAUCCCACCUUUAGUCCCAGCAACAUAUGAGCAUGUCACCAGGAGGUCUUCACAGGCCUGUCUGCCACCUGAGUGUAGACAUCUUUUGGCCCUGGAGCCCAGAGAGGCUGAAUGUGGAGAGGGUGGAGAGAGGUCUGUAGUCCUCAGAGAAGACUUGCAGCUUUUUCAGAGCCACCAACCCAUAAAAAAAAAAAUCCCCAAACAGAAAAAUCCUAACUGUGGUGACCAGGUACCUCCUGAGACAUGAAGCCUCCACUUACCUGGACCCUGGAGGCCUCUCCGGGCACAGCUGCCAAUGUUGAUCUUAGAUAAGACCACCAGCAAGUAAACAUCCACUGUGCAAAGCUGUGUUAUCUUUGGGGAACUGAAAUGUCCCCUGGGAGUUGGAAACUCCCCUAGCCACAUACCACAGAGUUGAGGAAGGAAGAGCUGAUGGACGGAAGAACCAUGGCGGGAGGAGUCAUCCGGAAGCUACCUCGCUGCCCUGUCAGUUACGGAACAGAGGAGAGAUGCCGGCUGGAGGACACAGCAAAUUUGAACCAAGAGGAGCUUGGAGGAAGCCCGAGCGACCUGGAGGGGACUGGCUGACCUUCCUCAUUCUUUUCAAGUGUGAAUAAUAACCAAGCCCAGUUUGGCAACUCCUUGAGGGUGAGGACGAAGCCCCAUUCUCCUUUUUGGAACUUGGUGGGGCUCAGGAAGCAGGUUCUCUCCAGUCGGUGGCUUUCCUUUCUGUUGCGGGUCUCUUGAGGGCCUGCCUUCAUGAAGGCACAUGAGUGACUCAUCAUUUGUGAAUUAAUUGCUAUAUGUGAAGGGCAUCUGAGAACAAAUUAUCUUCAUAGACUUUUCAUUAUAAUUUUAUUUGUACUGAUAAUUAGUUGGUUUAGCAAGCUCUUUUUUCAUAGAUUUGGCUAAACUUCAGUCUGAAAGAGGCAAAUUCUGGGGUUCUAGAAAGAGAUUUUAUUCUUUGAUAUAGGGCUAUUUGGUGGGGUUGCUUUUUGUCCUAGUUGUAGCUUUUAUAAUUUCGAGAUUCACAUUUUGCAAUAGAAAUAUACAGGCAUACCUUGGAGGCAUUACAGCUUUGGUCCCAGACCACAAUGAAGCAAGUCACACGAAUUUUGUUGGUUUCCCAGUAAAUAUAAAACGUAUGCUGAUACCAUACUAUAGUCUAAGUGUGCAACAGCAUAUGUCUAAAUGAAUAUACAUAUAUAUUUUUUUGAGACAGGUUCUUGCUCUGUCACCCAGGCUGGAGUGCAGUGGCACUAUCAUGGCUCACUGCAGCCUCCACCUCCCUGGACUAAGAUGAUCCUCCCACCUCAGGCUCCCAAGUAGCUGGGACUACAGGUCACACCACCACACCCAGUUAAUUUUUGUAUUUUUUGUAGAGACAGAGUCUUGACAUGUUGCCUAGGCUGGUCUUGAACUCCUGGCUUAAGUGAUCUGCCUGACUUUGCCUCCCAAAGUGCUGGGAUUACAGAUGUGUAGUCUUUGAAAUCCAGUGUGUGUUCUUACAGUGCAUUUCAAUUUGGACUAGCCAUGUUUCAAAUGCUCAGCAGCCACAUGCGGCUCAUUCUAGAUAGGCGGCCAUCGCUCUUAAAUCCUCCCUGACCUUAGCCAUGCUCUCUCAUCCCUCCUCUUCGCCAAGCUCUGCCUCUCUCACUGGGGCUUCCCUAGCCUCCGGCCAUCUUGGGGCCAAAGCUCUAACACUUUGCCUCUCUCGUGUCUUCUGUUCCCCUCCAGUGGCUUCUGCUUUCUGCCUUAAAAUACACCCAGGUUCCUAAUCCUGAAAACGUCUGUUGUGCACCGAUCCCACCCUCCCCUCGUGUUACCAUCUCCAUUUCCUUCCCCUUUCCUUGUGUCCUCUUCUUUGCUGUGUCCUGGCCCCUCAAAACUUGACCUUGCCUCUCAUCCCCACUGCUGUACUGAAACUGUUGUCUCAGCGUUGCUGAUCAUCCAGCCUUUUAGUCUAUGGACCGCUAAGAGCCAUAGGACGACCUCAGGGUGGGACGUGGCUUGGAGGGCCAUCUCGUCUCAAUUUCCAGAUACAGACCUGUGUUGGGUUGUGUUGGAUUCAUGAGGAAAGCUUCAUAAGUUUUAUGCACGUUUAUAAGACUCCAUCCUUGGAUUCUGAUCCAGUAGCUCUGGCGUGGGGGCUUUAGAAUCUGUUUCAAGUAUCUCAGGUAAUUUUGAUUAUAAAUUACCAAGUAUCCCAGGUAAAUUUUGAUUAUAAAUGCUUGCUUCCAGCAGAAAAUAUAAACAUAUGGAAGAUGAAAUCUUUCUCUCUGAAUAACCCAAUUCAGUUUCCACUCGUGAAUAUCUUAUAUAACCGUAGUACAUUUAUCAAAAUUAAAACACCAGUGUUAGCACAUUACUGUUAAUCUCCAGACUAUUUGUAAGUCACCAAUUUUUCCAUUGUCCCAUCUGUUCUUCCUUUUCUUUCUCUUGUCAUAACCACUUUUAGAGGGUUUUGAAUGGUAUCAUUUUGUCUUCACCGUCGGCUUAUUAGCUAUACUGUACUGUUCUAUUCUUUGAGUGGUUGCUCUAGGAUUUACAAAUAUGACUUCAACAUAUUGCAGAAUACCUUCAACAACUACGAUAUCCUUUCACAGAUAGUGUAAGAACUGCACCACAGAAUGCUUUCAUUUCCCCACUUCUAUUCUUUGUGAUAUUAUUGUCACACAUUUUAUUUUUACUUAAGGUAUGAGCCCCACAAUGCAUGUUAAAUAGCCAAAGUUUUUAGACAGAUUAAAGAAAUUAAGAAAAAGUCUUAUGAACUCAGGUAUUUACUAUCGUGUUGCUCCUUAUUCCUUAGUGCAGAUCCAUUUUUCUUUUCUUUUUUAUUUGAGACAGGGUCUCACUGUGUCACCUGUGGUUGAAUGCAAUGGCGUGAUCUCAACUCACUGCAGCCUCCACCUUCUGGGCUCAACUGAUCCUCCCACCUCAGCCUGUAAAGGGAUAUUUGCAAAGGGAUAUCGGAGUUGUUGAAGGUAUUUGCAAUAUGUUGAAGUCAUAUUUGUUUUUUUUUUUUUUUUUUUUUUUUUUUUGAGAUGGAGUCUUGCUCUGUUGUCCAGGUUAGAGUGCAGUGGCGUGAUCUUGGCUCACUGCAACCCAUACCUCCUGGGUUCAAGCAAUUCUCCUGCCUCAGCCUCCUGAAUAGCUGGGACUACAGGCAUGCGCCACCACACCCAGCUAAUUUUUGUAUUUUUGCUAGAGAUGGGGUUUUGCCAUGUUGGCCAGGCUGGUCUUGAACUCCUGACCUCAAGUGAUCCAUCUGCCUUGGCCUCCCAAAGUGCUGGGAUCACAGGCAUGAGCCACCGCGCUGGGCCUGAAGUCGUAUUUGUAAAUCCUAAUUUUUGUAUUUUUUUUUGUAGAGACAAGGUCUCACCAUGUCGGUCAGGCUGGCCUCACACUCCUGGGCUUAAGCAAUCCUGCUGCCUCAGCAUCCCAAAGUGCUGGGAUUACAGGUGUGAGCCGCUGUGCCCAGCCUGUUUUUCAUCUAGUAUUUUCCUUCUGCCUGAAGGAAACUUCUUUGACAUUUCUUGUAAUGGCAGCUCUGCUGGUGAUUAAUUCUUUCAGCUUUUAUUUGAAAGAGUCUGUAUUAAAAUAUAUAUAUAUUUUCACUAGGUAUAGAAUUUGAGGCUGACAGGUUUUUUUUUUUUUAAUUUUUUCAGUACUUUAAAGAUGUUAAUUUUCUUAUGGUUUGCCUACUUUCUGAUGAGAAGUUGGCUGCUGCUCCUUUUUUUUUUUUUUUUUUUUUGAGACAGAGUCUUGCUCUGUCGCCCAGGCUGGGGUGCAGUGGCGUGAUUUCGGCUCACUGCAACCUCCACCUCCCGGGUUCAAGCAAUUCUCCUGCCUCAGCCUCCCGAGUAGCUGGGAUUACAGGCACCUACCACCAUGUCUGGCUAAUUUUAGUAGGGAUGGGGUUUCACCAUCUUGGUCAGGCUGAUCUCGGACUUCUGACCUCGUGAUCCACCCGCCUCAGCCUUCCAAAGUGUUGGGAUUAUAGGCGUGAGCCACGGCGCCUGGCCUGCUGCCACUCUUAUAUUUGUUCUUCUGGAUGGAAUGUCUCUUUUUUUUCUGGUUGCUGGGAACAUGGGCUAUUCCCACCCCUAUGUGAGCUCCAGCUGCUUGGUCUAUUGGUUUCACCCUUCAUAUAUGAAGGUUAGUACUUGUCCAAAGACUCCAGGAGACUCUUCAGCUCUCAGGAGCUUGCUCUGUGCAGCUUCCUCCUCUCGUCCUCUUCUGCCUUCAGUUCUGCCUUGGUCUUUUUUGUUUGUUUGUUUGUUUUUUGAGACAGAGCCUUGCUCUUUCGCCCAGGGCAGAGUGCAGUGGUGUAAUCUUUGCUCACUGCAACCUCCGCCUCCCUGGUUCAAGCAAUUCUCCUGCCUCAGCCUCCCGAGUAGUUGGGAUUACAGGGGUGCAACACCACGCCCGGCUAAUUUUUGUAUUUUUAGUAGAGACAGGGUUUCACCAUGUUGGCCAGGCUGGUCUCGAACUCUUGAUCUCAGGUGAUCUGCCCGCCUUGGCCUCCCAAAGUGCUGGGAUUACAAGCGUGAGCCACCGCGCCCGGCCUGCCUUGGUCUUCCUGAACUCUGACUUCUGUCUCUUCAACUCCUGGAGACUACUAGACUCUGGAGUCUCUCUUUACCUUUUGGCCCAGAAACUGCUUCUGGGUAGUAGUAACCUGGUGCAUUUGUUG